rnacentral:rRNA from 1 species
GAUGAACGCUGACAGAAUGCUUAACACAUGCAAGUCUUUGGUGAAGCUGUGCUUGCACAGCCUAGCCAAGGCGGACGGGUGAGUAACGCGUAAGGAACUUGCCCUGCAGUCAGGGAUAACAGACGGAAACGACUGAUAAGACCUGGUAAAGUCAGGCGGACUCAUGUCCAGCCUGAUGAAAAGAGAUGCUGCAGGAGAGCCUUGCGUCCUAUUAGCUUGUUGGUGGGGUAACGGCCCACCAAGGCAAUGAUAGGUAGCCGGCCUGAGAGGGUGGACGGCCACAAGGGGACUGAGAUACGGCCCUUACUCCUACGGGGGGCAGGAGUGGGGAAUAUUGGAAAAUGGGGGCAACCCUGAUCCAGCAAUUCUGUGUGCACGAUGAAGGUUUUCGGAUUGUAAAGUGCUUUCAGCAGGGAAGAAAAAAAUGACGGUACCGGCAGAAGAAGCGACGGCUAAAUACGU